rnacentral:lncRNA from 1 species
GUACUCGCCCUGGUACCUGAUCUUGAGAAUCCGCAAUCCACUUCGAUACCGACUGCUGUUGAUCCGGUACCGAUUGUUGGGAUUCCACAACGGAAGCAUUGAAUUGGAUUUUUAUCAUAAAUCCGUAUUCUCAGCAGAAACUGAUACAAUCAUAAAAGUGAGAAAAACAACCAAACAGAAAAUAUGCAAAUAAAAUAAAAUAAAUUAAAUAAGAGAAGAUUACACAUGAUUCAUCUUCUGCAAUAGAGUAGCUAUAAUUCGAUCAUUUUUCUGAAUCUCUUCUAUCCUUCUCUCGUCUUCUAUAAACCCACCAAGAAGACAACUCUCUACGUACACUCGUGCACUAGGUACACUCAACCAUGACUUUCUCGCUCCUGGUACGGUUUCACCUAAAAAGGCACUCUCUUUCUCACCAUACUCUCUACUCCAAAAGCAGAAUAUUUUUUAUAACUAAUCCUAUCAAUUUUUAUAAUUAUAAAAAUAGUUUUCUUAAAAAAAAAUUAUAAAAAUAGACCUUUAAAUGCAGUGAAUGUUUCAUCGCAUUCAUAACUUCUAUUUAGCAGUAGAAAAAUAAUAAAAGAGGUGAACCAUUCACCGCUUUUACCAUCGUAGAAUUAUAAUAAAAAGGAAGAAAAAGAAAGAAAGCGGUGAAUGGUUCACCGCUUUUAAAAGUGGUGAAUCAUUCACCGCUUUUAUAAGACUAUAUCUACAAAUAAAAUUUUAACAGAUUUAUUUUUAAAAUAAAAUUUUAGAAGAGGACUAUUGAACUAAAACCCCCCAAAAGCAUCCCAAAGAGUGCUUUUAUAAUGCAUCCUUUAAAACGUACGCGAAUACUAAUCCAAUUAGAAUUCCUACUCCAAUUAAUAUUUAAAUCUAUAUUUCAUUUAUUUCCAAUAAAUUUAAAUAUUUAUCAUAAUCUAGUUAGAUUCAUACUCUAAUUAAUAUUUAAAUUUUAAUUAUCUCUAAUGGAUUUAAAUAUUAAUCAUAAUCCAACUAGAAAAUUAACUACAAAUCUAACCAAAUUCUAACAUUCUCCACCUUA